AUAAUGUUCUAACUAAAUGUCCACGAGGGCAGCAGUGUUCAAGCACAUCUAUUUUUCCCUUGUCCUCUCAGUCUGAGGGGUGUCUUUAUCUGAGUUGUUAACUCUGCCUAUGCAUGAGGAACAGUUAGGAGAGAUUAAAUCUACAGAUGAUGCAUGCAGCAGUUUUAGGAGGAUAACAACUAUGAUGUUUGCUGAUGGAAGAACAAACUGAGGUCGUCUUUUAACAGUCUUGUUGUUUGGAAGUCUUCUGGCUAAAAAAUUACAGUUGCAGACAUCUAGUGAGAUGGAUGAACUUGCUCACAAUUUAACUGAUCACAUCCUGAGUGCAAAAUCAGAAUGGAUUUUGGAAAAUGGUGGUUGGGAACAUGCCAUUGCUGAGAGACCUCUCUACCAUGUGAUGACCAGAAUUAUGGACUUAUUCAUCAAAUACCAUCCUAAGUUGUGGUUAA